ACGGAGGGUCCAAGCGUUGUUCGGAAUCAUUGGGCGUAAAGCGAGUGUAGGCGGUUUGAUAAGUCGGAUGUGAAAGCCCAGGGCCCAACCCUGGAAUUGCAUUCGAUACUGUCAGGCUAGAGUCCCGGAGAGGGUGGCGGAAUUCCCGGUGUAGGGGUGAAAUCCGUAGAUAUCGGGAGGAACACCAGUGGCGAAGGCGGCCACCUGGACGGUGACUGACGCUCAGACUCGAAAGCGUGGGGAGCAAACAGG
rnacentral:rRNA from 1 species